ACUCCUACGGGAGGCAGCAGUGGGGAAUAUUGGACAAUGGGCGCAAGCCUGAUCCAGCCAUGCCGCGUGAGUGAUGAAGGCCCUAGGGUUGUAAAGCUCUUUCACCCACGAGGAUAAUGACGGUAGUGGGAGAAGAAGCCCCGGCUAACUUCGUGCCAGCAGCCGCGGUAAUACGAAGGGGCUAGCGUUGUUCGGAAUCACUGGGCGUAAAGCGCGCGUAGGCGGACUGAUCAGUCAGGGGUGAAAUCCCGGGGCUCAACCUCGGAACUGCCUUUGAUACUGUCAGUCUUGAGUUCGGGAGAGGUGAGUGGAACUCCGAGUGUAGAGGUGAAAUUCGUAGAUAUUCGGAAGAACACCAGUGGCGAAGGCGGCUCACUGGCCCGGUACUGACGCUGAGGUGCGAAAGCGUGGGGGAGCAAACAGGAUUAGAUACCCUGGUAGGCUCUGCU
rnacentral:rRNA from 1 species